rnacentral:rRNA from 1 species
ACAGCAGCCGCCGCGGUAAUCCGUAGGUGGCAAGCGUUGUCCGGAAUUAUUGGGCGUAAAGGGCUCGCAGGCGGUUUCUUAGGUCUGAUGUGAAAGCCCCCGGCUCAACCGGGGAGGGUCAUUGGAAACUGGGAAACUUGAGUGCAGAAGAGGAGAGUGGAAUUCCACGUGUAGCGGUGAAAUGCGUAGAGAUGUGGAGGAACACCAGUGGCGAAGGCGACUCUCUGGUCUGUAACUGACGCUGAGGAGCGAAAGCGUGGGGAGCGAACAGGAUUAGAUACCCGCGUAGUCCCUGUCUCUUAUAC